CCCUUACACCCUGGGCUACACACGUGCUACAAUGGGUGAGACAAUGAGAUGCAAAUCUGCGAAGACAAGCUAAUCUAUAAACUCUCUCUAAGUUCGGAUUGUAGGCUGCAACUCGCCUGCAUGAAGUUGGAAUCGCUAGUAAUCGCUGGUCAGCUAUACAGCGGUGAAUUCGUUCCCGGGCCUUGUACACACCGCCCGUCACACCAUGGAAGCUGGUUAUACCCGAAGUCGUUACUCUAACCAUUUGGAGGAGGAUGCCUAAGGUAGAAUUAGUGACUAGGGUGAAGUCGGAACAAGGUAACCGUACUGG
rnacentral:rRNA from 1 species